UACGUAGGGUGCGAGCGUUAAUCGGAAUUACUGGGCGUAAAGCGUGCGCAGGCGGUUUUGUAAGCCAGAUGUGAAAUCCCCGGGCUUAACCUGGGAAUGGCAUUUGGGACUGCAAGGCUGGAGUUCGGCAGAGGAGACUGGAAUUCCCGGUGUAGCAGUGAAAUGCGUAGAUAUCGGGAGGAAUACCGAUGGCGAAGGCAGGUCUCUGGGCUAUAACUGACGCUCAUGCACGAAAGCGUGGGGAGCAAACAGG
rnacentral:rRNA from 1 species